CCACUAGCUGCUGCAGUAUUGCAUACGGCAUGACAACGGGCGGUCGACUCUGCGUCCAUUCGCACCGCGAACCUCGUCUCGGGUGUAAUCGAGUAGUCUCCGGUUAAACUAAGUUUGAUACCGUUGUGCAACCCGGCUAUUUGGAUCUGUUCUGUGCGUGAAUGUUUUUAUUCUUCUUGCUAGAAUACUAGGAUGUUGUGAUCAUAGUGUGACGUGAUAUAUAACUGUGUGGACGUGUUUGUGAUGUGUUGAUGCAAAAUGUCUGCUGGUGUUUGGGAUCUGAUGCCGUCGAGGUGCCGGUGGAUCGAGACGCUGCGCCAUUGCGGCAAGACGCUGCUGAGGAGGCAACGACGACUGCUUAGGAGGUUGAAGAAGGCGUACCUACACAGUUGGCGCUCUGCAGACGAGCUGAACAUGUUGGUGGGUGCGAAGGUCGGUGGCGCGACUCCACUGGUCAUUGCCUGCAGAAAUGGACAUUACGACGUAGCCGAAUAUCUUAUAGAGAGGUGCAAAGCUGACAUCGAACAACCUGGUUCAGUGACAUUCGACGGCGAGACGAUAGAGGGCGCUCCGCCGCUGUGGUGCGCCGCGGCGGCCGGCCACCUCCAGCUCGUGAAGCUGCUGGUGCGAGCCGGCGCCAACGUCAACUCCACCACCAGGACUCACAGCACGCCCCUCAGAGCCGCUUGCUUUGACGGACAUUCUGAUAUCGUUAAGUUCCUAGUCGAAAAUGGCGCCGACAUAGAAAUAGCAAAUCGUCACGGGCACACGUGCCUCAUGAUCGCGUGCUAUAAGGGCCACAUUAGAAUCGCUAAGUACCUCCUGUCUUUGAACGCGGACGUCAAUAGGAAGAGCGUGAAGGGCAACACGGCCUUACACGACUGCGCGGAAAGUGGCUCUCUCAAUAUACUCAAGAUGCUUCUAGGACAUGGAGCUACUAUGGACGUUGAUUCCUACGGUAUGACACCACUCCUAGCCGCAUCAGUAACAGGCCACACACACAUAGUCGAGCACCUAAUAAAUGCGGAAUACGGGCUAGUGACGAGACAGCAACGUAUCGACGCGCUCGAACUUCUCGGGGCCACGUAUGUCGAUAAGAGACGAGAUAUGGUCGGCGCGCUCGCCCUUUGGAAACGGGCUAUGGAUGACAGAUUUCCAGCAGAUGGUAGUGAACCCAUCCCAAAGCCGAAAGACAUCCCGCGCAUAGAGGCUUACGACUACGCGGUCGAGCCGAGCAAUGCGCAGCAACUAGAAGAAAUACUCGCCGACCCUGACGGCAUGAGGAUGCAGGCGUUAGUCAUUAGAGAGAGGAUUCUUGGGCCUGCUCACCCCGACACGUCGUACUACGUGCGGUACCGCGGCGCCGUGUACGCCGACGCGGGCCGCUUCGCGCGCUGCCGCCAGCUGUGGCACCACGCGCUGGACAUGCAGCGAGCCGUGCUGCCGCCGCUGUCGCCGCUCACGCAGUCCUCGCUCUACUCCUUCGCCGAGCUCUUCUCCUACAUGCUGGCCGAGCGGGCGCGGCCGCCGCUCAGAGGUCGUAUCGUCCCCCCAGUGACGUUCGAAGACAUUGAGCCUGUAUUCAGGAAGGCGCUCUCCGAAAUAGACCGCGGCAUGGAACUCCUAGAAUCUAAGCUAAGCAUCGACCGGGAGCAGACGCUGAGUACUCUGCAACGAGUGCUGGUCAUCUCGUUACACCUCGCCGCUCUCAUGGCCCGACUCUUAGAGGAACCCGAUUGUACUGAAGAAAUCUCCAGGAAGAUACAUAAGGCUGUGUACUCGCUUGUUAAGUUAGAUAUUAAGGUGCGUCAGGGUCGCGGCGCGCUGCACGUGGCGUGCUCGGCGGAGGGCGCGCGGGGGCGCGGGGCGCGCGCGUGGCUCGCGGCGCCCGGCGAGCCCGCGCCGCCCGCCGCCGGCCUGGUGCAGCUCAUGCUGCGCCUGGGCGCGCCGCCCGACGCGCGCGACGCCGACGGCAACACGCCGCUGCACCUCGUCUGCAAGCUAAACCCCUGUCCCGCGGAAGUAGUUCGCGAGCUGCUAGCGCACGGCGCACACAUCGACACGGUCAACUACGAGGGCGAGACGCCCGAGGAGAUCCUCAAAGCGACGCAGCAGAGUCUCACGGCCAUCGUCAACCCCUUGCGUUACACCACGCUCAAGUGUCUCGCCGCCCGCACCGUCAAGAACUACCGCCUGCCCUACCGACACGUCGUGCCGCAGUGUCUGCACUCCACCGUCAUCACGCACUGAACCAACCACACUACACUAUACAAACAUACAAGAACAAACCAACUCAAAACUGGGUUCUGAUUGGUCCAACAACGAACAGGUUCAUUCUAUACCCUACCAUAUUUAAUGUGUAAUGAGUCCUUGGAAUUGAUGACGUUUGACACGUCGCUGACGCAAGUCAUGGCUCUAUAGAUUUUGAGACUUGUUUGAAUCGUUCUUUUAGCAUUUUAGAUUGGAACGAUCAGUGUAUAUUUUAGGAUCUUUUUGAGGCUACGUUAUUAUUCUUUUAAUUCGUUGUAAUACCACCGGAUCUAAAGCCGUCUACACACUCGCGCGCGAACCGCGCGCGAAGGCGCGAAACACCCGCGUAACAUGAGUGUAGAUCCGAUUCGCAUAUUCUUCGCGGCUUCGCGGCUCGUUCGCGCUGUGUUCCCCGAAAAUUGUCGGUUUUUUGUCCCGCGACAAAGCGCUCGCAGGCGCGAAGCGCGACGUGAACGCGACAAGACUAUACAUUCGCGCCUCGGGCAGCUCAGUCGCUCAGUAGCAAUUGACACGGAUGGUUGUGUUUUAGUUUUUUUUUAGGUAUAUGCUACGAUUUUGCUUGCAAAAUGAGUAACGUGUGGAGCAAUGAAUUAGAACUAACAUUUAUAGAAUGUUUUCGUGCUGAGCCGGUAUUAUGGGACAUUAAUUUGAAAGAUUAUAAAAAUAAACUGAAAACCCAUGAUGCUUGGAUGCGGAUAAGUACGGUGAUGGAAAUACCAAUUGAUGAAUUGAAAAAGAAAAAAGGUUCUCUCAUGUCAAGCUAUAGGAGCUACAAGGGAAAAGUUAAGAAGUCCGUUCAAUCGGGAGCUGGUGCCGAUGAGAUAUAUCAGCCCAUUUGGUUCGCUUAUGAAGCAAUGGAUGCUUUUUUGGGAGAUACUCUAAAGUGUAAAAAAAGUAUGAAUACGGAACGUGGAAUAAAGGAGCCUAAAGAAGUAAAUCUCGAAGCUAUUAAAGAGAAUGUUGAAGAAAUGAAUGAAAAUCGAAGUCAGUCUAUUAACACCCAAAAAGACAGUGACCAGACAAUCCACCGACGCAAAAUCUCUUCAGAAGUGGUUGACGCAGGAAAUGUCGUUAAAGACGCUCUUAUCACCUUCAAAUCCACGCUAAAAAGGAACCCAUUACAGCCUAUUCAGCAAGACGAUGAUUGCGAUUUAUACGGAAAACUAUUAGCAAAUAAGUUGCGAAAAUUAUCUGAAAAGAAUAGAUUGAAGUUGAUGCACGACAUUGAUGGGAUGUAUUUACAAUACCAAUUUGAUGACCCUUUAGUGAUGACUCCAUCGCCACCUCAUUUUUAUGAACCAAGAACAGGCACAUCAUCAUCUACGCAUUCAGAGCCUCCAUUUCAUUACGGGCAGGCGAAUCAAAAUACUUAUUACCAAAAUAGACAAGUAAUAUCAGCCCCACCUUCUAAUAUCAUUAUUCAAUCGAACCGGCUAAUUCGUACACCAGAUUAUCCUGUCCUUCAUUUACCAGAGAACCAAGAUGCAAACACAUCUGAUCAUAAUAAUGAUAUAGUUCAGACAGCUUUUGACUUAAGUUAAAUACCUACUGAAAUUACCGAAUUUUGUUUUUAUUGUCUAUUGAAUUUUGUUAUUAUAUUUGGUUGAUUUUGCAAAGUUAUAUUCUAGAUUCUAAGUAGUUCUGUAUAUGCAUAAUAAAAGUAUUAAAUUGAUGUCCUUACUUUUAUUUCAUCCUCUAACACUUCACAUAGGGCAUGGCAAACUUCGGGUAUAAUUUUUGAUAUUAUUUGUGGUGAAACUUUGAACAAAAAAUGAAGGCUUUCAAAGUCAUCUCCUGUUGCUAAGUAUCUCAGUGUUAUAGCGAGACGUAUCUGGGCAGGAAUAGCUUUUCGUAAUUGGGUGUCUUGUUUUGAAAUUCGUGUUGAAAUUUGACUAAGCAAAUAUUCAAAAUCAUUUAAUGACAUCCGGGAAAACUUUUUGAAUUCAUCUGUAGGUUCUGCAACUAGUUCAUUCAACUGCUCCUCCAUGGUUGCACUGUAACAAAAUACAAAGUUAUCAAGUAUCAGAUCCCACAUCACAAGAUAUGUUACAGCGGCGUAUUACAUUUUAACUGUUAUUAAAACUGUAAUAUAGCUAAAAGUGAAUAUAUAUUUAUUUCACCCAUCUUGUACUACGUACUUACUAUAUCCUAAACUCUAUGAGAAAGCAUAAUAAAUUGGUACUUACCUGGUUCUGUUUCGGUGAAUGGUGGUAAUCCACCAUCUCCGUUUUCUUUGCUUCUUUUGAAUUGUUUGUUUUUUCUUUAUGGCGUAACUAUAAAUUGCUAAAGCGCAAAGUAGCCCCGCAGCUGCUGUAGUGGUUUCACUGUCCAUACCGACUACAAAUAAACUAUAUUGAUUAAAUGCUUGGCGUGCAUACGCGUCAAGUGCGCGAACUAUACUGAGAGCCCGGCGCGAACCUCUGCCAGUGUGGACAGUUGGCAGUUCUUGCUCCAAUUCGCGCCGCGAUUCGCGUCGCGAUUGGCGCCGUGAUUCGCGCGCGAGUGUGUAGAUGGCUUUAUUAUGUAUUGUAUUAUUAUAUACUAGUAUAAAUUUCAUAAUUCUGUGAAUUUAUGUUUUAUACUUAGUUUUUCUUUAUAAUAACUUCUCAUAGUUUAUAUAUUAUUGUAUAAUAUUGAUUGUUUAACUAAUUAUUCUUUUAUAGUUGUUUUGUCGAUUGAUUUGAAGUAUUUUAUAUAUGUCAAAAGUGAAAAAAGUUACGUCCUUAUGAUUGGUAGUAUAAAAGUUAUAGAAAUUAAAUUUCAGUGCUGUGCCGUACGUGAUUUGAGUAGAUGUAAUUAUGUACAUUGGAAAUAAGUAAAAUUGAUGUUUAUAUGACUUAUAUAGCUAUGUGUAAAUUACCGUAUGGCGAUACGUCUGGAUACAAUGGAGCUUUAACGCUAUGUAAUGUGGCCACGUUGGUACAAUAGAUGAAUUCAAUGUCACAAAUAUAUUAAUUGUAACUGAGUGUAUAAGAGAUCAGAGCUCAAACUAAAAAGAACAUUAUCUUACUAUGAAUAUUGUUUGCGUGAUAACCUGCGUGCAUAUUAUAUUAAUAUACUUUGUAUCGUAAAGGUAGACUUUAACACUUCGCAACGAUUAUAAAUAGAUGAAGUGGAACAAUAGUAGAUGUAAUGGCACUGUGUGUACUUACUGCUCGACAACACAAUAGAGAUGUAGAUUAGUAUGAUUAUUUCCGCAGUCAUAAAACGGAUACGAAUUUAGUUGCUUUCGCUGCAAUCAACGAAAUAUUGACUUCAUCUGUAUAUAAUCUUUGAUACGUCCACCAAGUGAUAUUCGCUUUUAAUUUUUGACUAUUAUCGUAAUGCUAGAGGCCCGCUGCCGCGGCUUGGACUAGAGUCAAUAGUUUGAGACUUACACCCUCUCUAGUCCUCUAUUAUAUUAGUACAUCCUGAAUUACUUUUUAUAAACAUAAAACCUUACUCCAAUUAUGUCAGUGAUAAUCGCUUGACGCAUAAUUAUAUCAAUGUAAAAACAAAUUAGACAUAAGUAGGCAUAUUAGAAAUUAAUGGAGAUACGUAUAAAUUGGUAUUGUAUAUUAGCAGAAUGGGUAACGACAAAGUAAACUAUUAGUACUGAAUUAUGAUAAAGAUGUUGAUUCAUGUUGUAACAACGGCAUCUUACGCUACUUUGUGUGUAUUUCCUCAUAGUAUAUUAUAAAUUUAGUAAUACUGCGUGAUUAUAUGCUAGUUAUUUUUGAAAUUAAUAAAACGCUUUAAAAUAUA
rnacentral:misc_RNA from 1 species